AUACCUUUCUCGGCCUUUUGGCUAAGAUCAAGUGUAGUAUCUGUUCUGAUAAGUUUAAUCGCUUGUCUGUCGCUCAUUGAGCGACAUUUCGAUUUAACUUUAUCUUUCUAGGGCCCUCGGUUAGCUCCAGCUUGCUGGGCUGCCUUGGCACGCUUUUAUAGGGAAGCACACCAACUCCCUAGGAGAGCACCCUCU
rnacentral:snRNA from 1 species